rnacentral:rRNA from 1 species
AAUGGGUCAGCGACUUAUAUUCUGUAGCAAGGUUAACCGAAUAGGGGAGCCGAAGGGAAACCGAGUCUUAACUGGGCGUUAAGUUGCAGGGUAUAGACCCGAAACCCGGUGAUCUAGCCAUGGGCAGGUUGAAGGUUGGGUAACACUAACUGGAGGACCGAACCGACUAAUGUUGAAAAAUUAGCGGAUGACUUGUGGCUGGGGGUGAAAGGCCAAUCAAACCGGGAGAUAGCUGGUUCUCCCCGAAAGCUAUUUAGGUAGCGCCUCGUGAAUUCAUCUCCGGGGGUAGAGCACUGUUUCGGCAAGGGGGUCAUCCCGACUUACCAACCCGAUGCAAACUGCGAAUACCGGAGAAUGUUAUCACGGGAGACACACGGCGGGUGCUAACGUCCGUCGUGAAGAGGGAAACAACCCAGACCGCCAGCUAAGGUCCCAAAGUCAUGGUUAAGUGGGAAACGAUGUGGGAAGGCCCAGACAGCCAGGAUGUUGGCUUAGAAGCAGCCAUCAUUUAAAGAAAGCGUAAUAGCUCACUGGUCGAGUCGGCCUGCGCGGAAGAUGUAACGGGGCUAAACCAUGCACCGAAGCUGCGGCAGCGACACUAUGUGUUGUUGGGUAGGGGAGCGUUCUGUAAGCCUGUGAAGGUGUACUGUGAGGUAUGCUGGAGGUAUCAGAAGUGCGAAUGCUGACAUAAGUAACGAUAAAGCGGGUGAAAAGCCCGCUCGCCGGAAGACCAAGGGUUCCUGUCCAACGUUAAUCGGGGCAGGGUGAGUCGACCCCUAAGGCGAGGCCGAAAGGCGUAGUCGAUGGGAAACAGGUUAAUAUUCCUGUACUUGGUGUUACUGCGAAGGGGGGACGGAGAAGGCUAUGUUGGCCGGGCGACGGUUGUCCCGGUUUAAGCGUGUAGGCUGGUUUUCCAG